UUUCCCUCAGGAUAGCAGAAACUUAUACGCAGUUUUAUGUGGUAAAGCGAAUGAUUGGGGUCACCGGGGGCUAAAUGCCCUUGAACCACUCUCAAACUUUAAAUAUGUAAGACGACCUGUUUGCUUAAUUGAAGCAGGUCAUCGAAUGCAGAGUUUCUAGUGGGCCAUUUUUGGUAAGCAGAACUGGCGAUGCGGGAUGAACCA
rnacentral:ncRNA from 1 species